rnacentral:rRNA from 1 species
GACGUAGGAGGCGAGCGUUGUCCGGAUUCAUUGGGCGUAAAGAGCACGCAGGCGGUUUGGCAAGUCGGAUGUGAAAACCCGAAGCUCAACUUCGGGCGUGCAUCCGAAACUGCCCGACUAGAGGUAGGUAGGGGAGAUCGGAAUUCCUGGUGUAGCGGUGAAAUGCGCAGAUAUCAGGAGGAACACCAGUGGCGAAGGCG